rnacentral:rRNA from 1 species
CUACGGGAGGCAGCAGUAGGGAAUAUUGGACAAUGGGCGCAAGCCUGAUCCAGCCAUGCCGCGUGAUAGAUGAAGGCCCUCUGGGUUGUAAAUAUCUUUUAUCUGGGAAGAAACUCCUCUAUUCUUAGAGGCCUGACGGUACCAGAGGAAUAAGCACCGGCUAACUCCGUGCCAGCAGCCGCGGUAAUACGGAGGGUGCAAGCGUUAUCCGGAUUCACUGGGUUUAAAGGGUGCGUAGGCGGGCUGAUAAGUCAGUGGUGAAAGCUCCGAGCUUAACUUGGAAACUGCCAUUGAUACUGCCAGUCUUGAAUGUCGUAGAGGUAAGCGGAAUGUUGCAUGUAGCGGUGAAAUGCUUAGAUAUGUUACAGAACACCAAUUGCGAAGGCAGCUUACUAUGCGAUGAUUGACGCUGAGGCACGAAAGCGUGGGGAGCAAACAGGAUUAGAUACCCGAGUAGUCC